GAAAGGUGAGUGGUAUUUACUUCUUCAAAAGAGAAGCUAUCCACCUCAGAGCUCAUCUUUCAUCACACUCACUAUGUUGAUUUAUUAUGAAAAAAUAAACUACAGAAAAGGAAAAGUCUCUGAGCGGUUAAACUGAAAGUCACCUAAUUCCUUGGGUAGAAAUGCCAACAAGGAAAUUGACAGGACCCCAAGUCCUUCAGUUUUGACUAAGAAAGUCCUAGUACCUGGGCACGGGUUUAGAGAGUCCGCAAGAUUCUAUAGAGGCAAGUAGUAGUUGAGUAAGUUUGACCGAAACGUGUGAUUGUCGUAAACAAUCGGUGAUGACUUGAUACUGAUGGCAACAUUAGUGGAUACGAGAGGAAACCUUAGUCGGGUAUAAUCUCUACAAAAGACAGGUCACUUAAACGAGUAAUCUCAUCGU
rnacentral:ncRNA from 1 species